rnacentral:rRNA from 1 species
UACGGAGGGUGCGAGCGUUGUUCGGAAUCACUGGGCGUAAAGCGCGUGUAGGCGGCCCACUAAGUCUGAUGUGAAAGCCCGAGGCUCACCCUCGGAAGUGCAUUGGAAACUGGUGGACUCGAGUCCCGGAGAGGAGAGUGGAAUUCCUGGUGUAGCGGUGAAAUGCGUAGAUAUCAGGAGGAACACCGGUGGCGAAGGCGGGUCUCUGGGCCGAUACUGACGCUGAGGAGCGAAAGCGUGGGGAGCGAACAGG